rnacentral:rRNA from 1 species
UGCAAGUCGAGCGGUAAGGCCCUUCGGGGUACACGAGCGGCGAACGGGUGAGUAACACGUGAGCAACCUGCCCCUGACUCUGGGAUAAGCGGUGGAAACGCCGUCUAAUACCGGAUACGACCCGCCACCUCAUGGUGGAGGGUGGAAAGUUUUUCGGUCAGGGAUGGGCUCGCGGCCUAUCAGCUUGUUGGUGGGGUAACGGCCUACCAAGGCGAUUACGGGUAGCCGGCCUGAGAGGGCGACCGGCCACACUGGGACUGAGACACGGCCCAGACUCCUGCGGGAGGCAGCAGUGGGGAAUAUUGCGCAAUGGGCGAAAGCCUGACGCAGCGACGCCGCGUGGGGGAUGACGGCCUUCGGGUUGUAAACCUCUUUUACCACCAACGCAGGCUUCCAGUUCUCUGGAGGUUGACGGUAGGUGGGGAAUAAGGACCGGCUAACUACGUGCCAGCAGCCGCGGUAAUACGUAGGGUCCGAGCGUUGUCCGGAAUUAUUGGGCGUAAAGAGCUCGUAGGCGGCGUGUCGCGUCUGCUGUGAAAGACCGGGGCUUAACUCCGGUUCUGCAGUGGAUACGGGCAUGCUAGAGGUAGGUAGGGGAGACUGGAAUUCCUGGUGUAGCGGUGAAAUGCGCAGAUAUCAGGAGGAACACCGGUGGCGAAGGCGGGUCUCUGGGCCUUACCUGACGCUGAGGAGCGAAAGCAUGGGGAGCGAACAGGAUUAGAUACCCUGGUAGUCCAUGCCGUAAACGUUGGGCGCUAGGUGUGGGGACUUUCCACGGUUUCCGCGCCGUAGCUAACGCAUUAAGCGCCCCGCCUGGGGAGUACGGCCGCAAGGCUAAAACUCAAAGGAAUUGACGGGGGCCCGCACAAGCGGCGGAGCAUGUUGCUUAAUUCGACGCAACGCG